GACCAGGUAUUUACUACGACCGCAACUGCAACAAAGAAGACAUCAACCACGCCGUCCUGGCCGUCGGGUACGGUGUGAACGCCAAGGGGAGGAAGUUCUGGAUUGUGAAGAACAGCUGGGGUGAAACCUGGGGCAACAAGGGCUACGUCCUCAUGGCUCGUAACCGUGGCAACGCCUGCGGCAUCGCUAACCUCGCCAGCUACCCCGUCAUGUGAGAGAUCUGAACAAGACGAGAGAGAAUGAAGAUUGGAGAGACUGGAAAACCACUAAAGCAUCUCUAAAGUUUGCACAGAUGAUUUGAGAGUUUCCUUUGUGCUCGUUUGCUUUAGAAACUGAGUUGUGUGACCUUGUGGCGACGACUUCUCUUAAAUUUUUGGACUAGGACACUCUGCUGUCAGCACUUUGAACCCCUGACGUAUUUCACAUGAUCUGUAAAAUCUGCUUCACAAAACGGUUCCUUCUACCUCCAGAGGCUGGUUUCGCUGCUUUUCUACACCAAAAUGUAGAAAAAUCCUGAAACAUUAAAUGAAACGUCAGUAUUUCUAAGGUAGUUUGACUUUUUUAGGCCCCGUUUUUGUUUUGACCGCUAAAUUAAGCACAUUGCUGGGCAGUGUGAGCUCCUCCGGUUCUGCCACUCCAUUGUUUGGUUCAUUCUUGAUCAUGUUUAGUUGUUUUUUUUUUGUUCUAUUCAGCACUUUUUUUUAUAAUGAUUCAACUGUAAACGGAUGUUUUCUAACUAAACUGAAUAAAGGUUUUGGUUUUGAAGAUGAA